rnacentral:rRNA from 1 species
AGCUCCAAUAGCGUAUAUUAAAGUUGUUGCGGUUAAAAAGCUCGCAGUUGGAUUUCUGCUGGGGACGACCGGUCCGCCCCCCGGGUGAGUAUCUGGUUUCGUCCUCGGCAUCUUCUUGGAGAACGUAUCUGCACUUGACUGUGUGGUGCGGUAUCCAGGACCUUUACUUUGAGGAAAUUAGAGUGUUUCAAGCAGGCGCCCGCCUUGUAUACGUUAGCAUGGAAUAAUAAGAUAGGACCUUGGUUCUAUUUUGUUGGUUUCUAGAACUGAGGUAAUGAUUAAUAGGGAUAGUUGGGGGCAUUCGUAUUUAACUGUCAGAGGUGAAAUUCUUGGAUUUGUUAAAGACGAACUACUGCGAAAGCAUUUGCCAAGGAUGUUUUCA